rnacentral:rRNA from 1 species
CAGUAGCCGCGGUAAUACGUAGGGGGCGAGCGUUGUCCGAAGUUACUGGGCGUAAAGCGCGCGUAGGCGGCUUCUUAAGUCUGAGGUGAAAGGUUCAACGCUUAACGUGAACAGUGCCUUGGAUACUGGGGAGCUUGAGUAUGGGAGAGGGCAGUGGAAUGGCUGGUGUAGCGGUGAAAUGCGUAGAUAUCAGUCGGAACACCCAUGGCGAAGGCAGCCGCCUGGCCUAAUACUAACGCUGAGGUGCGAAAGCGUGGGGAGCGAACGGGAUUAGAUACCCCAGUAGUCCCUGUCUCUUAUU